rnacentral:rRNA from 1 species
GUGGGGAAUUUUGGACAAUGGGCGAAAGCCUGAUCCAGCAAUGCCGCGUGCAGGAUGAAGGCCCUCGGGUUGUAAACUGCUUUUGUACGGAACGAAAAGCUCUGGGCUAAUACCCUGGAGUCAUGACGGUACCGUAAGAAUAAGCACCGGCUAACUACGUGCCAGCAGCCGCGGUAAUACGUAGGGUGCAAGCGUUAAUCGGAAUUACUGGGCGUAAAGCGUGCGCAGGCGGUUUUGUAAGACAGUGGUGAAAUCCCCGGGCUCAACCUGGGAACUGCCAUUGUGACUGCAAAGCUAGAGUGCGGCAGAGGGGGAUGGAAUUCCGCGUGUAGCAGUGAAAUGCGUAGAUAUGCGGAGGAACACCGAUGGCGAAGGCAAUCCCCUGGGCCUGCACUGACGCUCAUGCACGAAAGCGUGGGGAGCAAACAGGAUUAGAAACCCGUGUAGUCC